rnacentral:rRNA from 1 species
AGUCGANCGGGAAUCUUCGGAUUCUAGUGGCGGACGGGUGAGUAACGCGUAAGAAUCUAACUUCAGGACGGGGACAACAGUUGGAAACGACUGCUAAUACCCGAUGUGCCGAAAGGUGAAACCUAAUUGGCCUGAAGAAGAGCUUGCGUCUGAUUAGCUAGUUGGUGGGGUAAAGGCCUACCAAGGCGACGAUCAGUAGCUGGUCUGAGAGGAUGAGCAGCCACACUGGGACUGAGACACGGCCCAGACUCCUACGGGAGGCAGCAGUGGGGAAUUUUCCGCAAUGGGCGAAAGCCUGACGGAGCAACGCCGCGUGAGGGAGGAAGGUCUUUGGAUUGUAAACCUCUUUUCUCAAGGAAGAAGUUCUGACGGUACUUGAGGAAUCAGCCUCGGCUAACUCCGUGCCAGCAGCCGCGGUAAUACGGGGGAGGCAAGCGUUAUCCGGAAUUAUUGGGCGUAAAGCGUCCGCAGGUGGUCAGCCAAGUCUGCCGUCAAAUCAGGUUGCUUAACGACCUAAAGGCGGUGGAAACUGGCAGACUAGAGAGCAGUAGGGGUAGCAGGAAUUCCCAGUGUAGCGGUGAAAUGCGUAGAGAUUGGGAAGAACAUCGGUGGCGAAAGCGUGCUACUGGGCUGUAUCUGACACUCAGGGACGAAAGCUAGGGGAGCGAAAGGGAUUAGAUACCCCUGUAGUCCUAGCCGUAAACGAUGGAUACUAGGCGUGGCUUGUAUCGACCCGAGCCGUGCCGAAGCUAACGCGUUAAGUAUCCCGCCUGGGGAGUACGCACGCAAGUGUGAAACUCAAAGGAAUUGACGGGGGCCCGCACAAGCGGUGGAGUAUGUGGUUUAAUUCGAUGCAACGCGAAGAACCUUACCAAGACUUGACAUGUCGCGAACCCUNNGAAAGCUGGGGGUGCCUUCGGGAGCGCGAACACAGGUGGNGCAUGGCUGUCGUCAGCUCNUGUCG